rnacentral:tRNA from 1 species
UUGAGAAAGACAUAGUGGUUAUGGUGUUGGCUUGAAACCAAUUGUAGG